AUCUCUAUGGACAGCCAGUUCCAGUGCUCUGUCACCCUCAAAGUAAAGAAGUUUUUCCUCAUGUUGAGAAGGAACUUUCUGUGUUCCAGCUUGUGUUCAUUGCCCCUUGUCCUGUCACCGGGCACCGCUGAGAAGAUCUCCUCAUCCUGACCAACAACACGCUUGAAUCAGAUGCGGGCACUGCUUUGCAAGAAUAUCUAGGAAUAAGUAGUUCUUUCUCUAGCAGGCAAUGCUGUUUAUAAAUUGCAGAUGACGAGUUGCUCAUUGUUUAAAGUUAUGUAAAGUAAUUGCCUGACGGUUGUCAGGUUGGUUGCUCUUAAAUGUUUUCUAAUUGCCAUUGCGUGUCUUGAGCUACAGUUAAUCUGAAUUCUUGAGCUUGGUACAAAAGCAUACUGUUGUUUUAAGAGUCUGACUUAGAAAGGUGGGGAGAUGAACUAAAAGGAAAAUUUCCUCAUGAAUCCAGGGUGUGCUAUGCAAUCUGGUAUGUGGGCUUGCCACAGUACCAAGUCAGACUUAUUUUUUGCGCUUGGCUAUGUUCUGGAGAAGAUCCAUGUGAUUAAUCAAAAAUGGGUCAGGCAUGAAGGAAUCAAAGCAAGCUUAUUUUAAAAGGGGUUUUAGUUCUAUUAAAGACCUAUAACUGAUGUAGCUAUUGCGAGAGCUACCCUUGUGUAUGGAAUGCACUUAUUGAAACAACUUGGCAGUAUAUAUAUUCUAAAUGUAUUUCACUUUGAUGUAAUGUGGGGGAGAGAAAUGUGUCAUUGCUCAUUUUAACCUAAUUAUAUAAACCAAAGUGCUGUUGUCCCUGAUGAAUGUAAACUGUUUAAAAUGUCCAUGUAAUCGGUGGAGCUGUAUAGUUCUCUCACUUAGAUUUGAAAUACGGGAUUACAUUUAAAGUUUUUUUAAAAAAAUCUUUAUAUUCCUAGAUGUAGCAUUUUAAAUCCCUAAUUUAUUUUGUGUCUGAUGUUGUUUUUCAUGUGUAGUUUGUGGUCUGUUUUCUGAAUGGAAGUUAUGCACACCUCAUCACUGAAGGUUGGAAGCUUGUUCUAGGCCAUUUUUGUAAAUACAUCACUUAGGGGAUGUGAAGUUUUUGUUACUGAUUAUACUGAUACCAGUGCAACCCCUCAUGUGGACACAGUUACAUGAGUACAAAGUGCCUUGUGCUGGUAUAUCUUUAUUCACCUUCUAGACAGGAAUAAACUAUACCGGUCUAAGCACUUUCACGCUAAUAACUGUAUCUUCUCCAAGGGUUUGAUCUGCUGAGACACCUUAGUCAAUCUAACAGCUCACUGCCACCAAAAAGGGGCAGUUACCUCCUCCUCCUGUGCUCCCUAUUCCUGUCAACAUAUUCCAGCUGCUUCUCUUGUACCUUUACUGGUCUGGUGCUGGUCUGAUCCCUCCACAGGACAAAUCAACUUUUUAAGCCAGCAGAAAACUAAGCCAGUUAAAAAAAGGAGCUAAUUUUCUGCUGGAUCAGCUCUCCAAAGGGUCGGAUAGACACUAGGGUGGGAGUAGCAAGGGGACAGGACUCUGCAUCCAGGGUCUGGGCAAGGAGAAGGUGGGACAGGUCACUUUGGAGGUGCUGAGCUGCUUGGUCAGUUCAUCAUCUUGCUGAGCCAUGUGCUUGGAGAGCUAUGCUGUUUUAUCUAUAGCAGGGUUAGGCGGCAUGGCUUUCGUGGGUAGACAACCCUCAGGCUCACAGUGAAUGAUAAAGUAUCACAUUACUGUUUAUUGCUUAAACUUAAUUGAACAAACUCAGGUAGCUGCACUGUUGACUUUUCUAAACUUCUUACUGUCUAGUCUGUGGGGUGUAUUUUCCAAAACCGUAUUACAGUAUUUUAGAAAUGCGUCAGCUAAGAGGAGAUUGUUUCCUAAUUCUGUAUGACAUCCAGGAAAAUAUGUAAAAGUGCCAUAUUUACUCAGUGAUUCAUGUACUGCUCAUAUGUAUAUUCACAUGCAACGCAUACUAGACUUUUCUGUGACCUAUAGUAUUUGACUUAGAAUGGAUGGGCAUUUUGUGGAUAAUACUUUAGGCAUGGUUUGUAUGAGUUUAUAUAACUACUUACAUUAAACAGGUGCCUCACAAGACACUUCCAGAAUAUAAGCAAGGCAUUUUACAUUAUCGCUCAAAAAUAAUACAAAUCUUCCUUGGUAACGGAAGCAGAGAUGACAAAGAGCGCAUCAAAAAUAGGAAGACAACCUUAAUAGUACAUUAAGCCUGAAUAGCAAAUCUACUUUGUGAUUAAAAUCUGGAGGUGUUCAUCUCCUCCUUUGCCAAAAUUAGGAUGGAUAUUUGUGCUGACCUCGUGCAUCUGGCCAGACCAGCAACUUUUGUAAAUUCUGAUUGGAAAGCGCCCGCUCCAAGUCUCGUAUCACAUUUCUGGCACUUCCACUAAUUCAUGUGCUUAAGUGGUGACGAGUCCUGUAAGAAUACCAAGGAAAAACUUUGAAAUUUGACCAAACGGACAAACUUCUUAAUUCUGUAGCAAGAAUCUUAAUAUGAUAAUAGACCUGCAUAGUGUUACAUUGCAAUAUAGUACACCCAGAAAAAAUGGAAAUAAAAUAUUCUUUUGUAAUAAUGAA